GUAACAAAGCUGGUGAAGGGACUAGAAAACAGGACUUACAAGGUGUGAUUGAGAGAAUCUGGGGUUGUUUAAUCUGGAGAAGAGGAAGCUGAGGGGAGACCUCAUUGCUCUCUACAACUACUUGAAGGGAGGUUGCAGUGAGGAGAGUGUUGGUCUCUUUUCUCCACAUUGGAACAGGCUGCCUGGGUAAGUGGUGGAGUCUCCAUCCCUGAAGGUUUAAGAGGUGUAUGGAUGUGGCACUAAGGGACAUGGUUUAGUGAUGGGGCUCAGUAGGUCAGGUUCAUGAUUGUACUUGUUGAUCUUGAAGGUUUUCUCCAACCUAGAUGAUUUUAUGAUUCUAUGAUGAAAAUAUCUAAAUGAAGCUGAAACUCAUGUUUGACACCUUGAUAUUCUGCUGUAGUGAGAGGUCCUUUACCUUUCUGGUUUAGUGAUUGCUGUAACUGAGGUUGAUUGGUGCCUGAGAAUUAUUGCCGUCAUUAUGAAAAGCGUACAAUGCACUUGAUAAACAGCAUACAGUCCUGUUGUUUGAUUAGUUGUUGCUUACACAAAUUUUAGCUUUUAUCUAACUGUAAGAAAUCAGUGAAACUGAACAAAACAAACACUGCUCUAAGCAAGAAAAGGCGUAAUAAAAUCACUCCCCCCCCC